rnacentral:rRNA from 1 species
CGCGUAGGCGGACUUUCAAGUCGGAUGUGAAAUCUCCGGGCUCAACUCGGAGCCUGCAUCCGAUACUGUUGGUCUUGAGUAUAUCAGAGGAAAGCGGAAUUCCAGGUGUAGCGGUGAAAUGCGUAGAUAUCUGGAAGAACACCAGUAGCGAAGGCGGCUUUCUGGGUAAUACUGACGCUGAAGCGCGAAGGCGUAGGGGAGCAAACA